AUUGAACGCUGGCGGCAGGCCUAACACAUGCAAGUCGAGCGGAUGAAGGGAGCUUGCUCCUGGAUUCAGCGGCGGACGGGUGAGUAAUGCCUAGGAAUCUGCCUGGUAGUGGGGGAUAACGUCCGGAAACGGGCGCUAAUACCGCAUACGUCCUGAGGGAGAAAGUGGGGGAUCUUCGGACCUCACGCUAUCAGAUGAGCCUAGGUCGGAUUAGCUAGUUGGUGGGGUAAAGGCCUACCAAGGCGACGAUCCGUAACUGGUCUGAGAGGAUGGUCAGUCACACUGGAACUGAGACACGGUCCAGACUCCUACGGGAGGCAGCAGUGGGGAAUAUUGGACAAUGGGCGAAAGCCUGAUCCAGCCAUGCCGCGUGUGUGAAGAAGGUCUUCGGAUUGUAAAGCACUUUAAGUUGGGAGGAAGAGCAGUAAGUUAAUACCUUGCUGUUUUGACGUUACCAACAGAAUAAGCACCGGCUAACUUCGUG
rnacentral:rRNA from 1 species